UGGCCGUAUUACCUUGAACGUGCUUGAUCUCAUCUGAUCUUGGAAGCUAAGCAGGGUUGGGCUUGGUUAGUACUUGGAUGGGAGAAAUCAAACUUAAAAGUUAC
rnacentral:rRNA from 1 species